GCGAGGCCGCAAAGAUGAUGAAAGAUCGGAACCACUGGUGGUACUCUCCUCAACCCUCGCUUCGCCGACGACAGCAUCGCCAAUCUUGUCGAGAGCCGGCGGAUUGAUUCGCGUCGGGAUGCAUGAGUUUGCAGAAGGAACUUUACUUCCUUUCGAGUAUGCCCAGAGCUGACCUGUUUUGAUGAAUGGUCUGUUCAGGUUUGGGCUUGAACAACAAAAAGUUUGAUGCUGAUAACUUGCAGCUCAAGCGCUGGAGCAAGACACUGGGUAGUCUACAUCUGAGAUCACUGAUGGCUCCGCCACCAAUGAGGAGUUUUGGUUUUGGUUUGAUUAAGUGCUGAUCCUCCCAUAUCUGAUUAUAUCAACGGAAUAACCAAAAUCUUAGAUAUUGUUCUUAUUGGCUUCUAAGGUGUUGUUUAUUCUUGAUAACAUAUACAUGCAAUCAUCUCCUGAUACUAGUUGGGGAUUUUGAACAAAUGGGUUGUUUUUUUGCCCUUUUUGAGCUCCACGAUGAUCACAUGGGUGGAGAGUGAUUGUUGCCAAGAGCUGAGUACGACGUCUUGCUGGUUGCAUAUCUGUGCAGAUAUGCACAAGG